rnacentral:rRNA from 1 species
AGAGUUUGAUCAUGGCUCAGAUUGAACGCUGGCGGCAGGCCUAACACAUGCAAGUCGAACGGUAACAGGAAGCAGCUUGCUGCUUCGCUGACGAGUGGCGGACGGGUGAGUAAUGUCUGGGAAGCUGCCUGAUGGAGGGGGAUAACUACUGGAAACGGUAGCUAAUACCGCAUAAUGUCGCAAGACCAAAGAGGGGGACCUUCGGGCCUCUUGCCAUCGGAUGUGCCCAGAUGGGAUUAGCUUGUUGGUGGGGUAACGGCUCACCAAGGCGACGAUCCCUAGCUGGUCUGAGAGGAUGACCAGCCACACUGGAACUGAGACACGGUCCAGACUCCUACGGGAGGCAGCAGUGGGGAAUAUUGCACAAUGGGCGCAAGCCUGAUGCAGCCAUGCCGCGUGUAUGAAGAAGGCCUUCGGGUUGUAAAGUACUUUCAGCGGGGAGGAAGGGAGUAAAGUUAAUACCUUUGCUCAUUGACGUUACCCGCAGAAGAAGCACCGGCUAACUCCGUGCCAGCAGCCGCGGUAAUACGGAGGGUGCAAGCGUUAAUCGGAAUUACUGGGCGUAAAGCGCACGCAGGCGGUUUGUUAAGUCAGAUGUGAAAUCCCCGGGCUCAACCUGGGAACUGCAUCUGAUACUGGCAAGCUGAGUCUCGUAGAGGGGGGUAGAAUUCCAGGUGUAGCGGUGAAAUGCGUAGAGAUCUGGAGGAAUACCGGUGGCGAAGGCGGCCCCCUGGACGAAGACUGACGCUCAGGUGCGAAAGCGUGGGGAGCAAACAGGAUUAGAUACCCUGGUAGUCCACGCCGUAAACGAUGUCGACUUGGAGGUUGUGCCCUUGAGGCGUGGCUUCCGGAGCUAACGCGUUAAGUCGACCGCCUGGGGAGUACGGCCGCAAGGUUAAAACUCAAAUGAAUUGACGGGGGCCCGCACAAGCGGUGGAGCAUGUGGUUUAAUUCGAUGCAACGCGAAGAACCUUACCUGGUCUUGACAUCCACGGAAGUUUUCAGAGAUGAGAAUGUGCCUUCGGGAACCGUGAGACAGGUGCUGCAUGGCUGUCGUCAGCUCGUGUUGUGAAAUGUUGGGUUAAGUCCCGCAACGAGCGCAACCCUUAUCCUUUGUUGCCAGCGGUCCGGCCGGGAACUCAAAGGAGACUGCCAGUGAUAAACUGGAGGAAGGUGGGGAUGACGUCAAGUCAUCAUGGCCCUUACGACCAGGGCUACACACGUGCUACAAUGGCGCAUACAAAGAGAAGCGACCUCGCGAGAGCAAGCGGACCUCAUAAAGUGCGUCGUAGUCCGGAUUGGAGUCUGCAACUCGACUCCAUGAAGUCGGAAUCGCUAGUAAUCGUGGAUCAGAAUGCCACGGUGAAUACGUUCCCGGGCCUUGUACACACCGCCCGUCACACCAUGGGAGUGGGUUGCAAAAGAAGUAGGUAGCUUAACCUUCGGGAGGGCGCUUACCACUUUGUGAUUCAUGACUGGGGUGAAGUCGUAACAAGGUAACCGUAGGGGAACCUGCGGUUG